CAACACUUGUACCUGUUCCCAAGCAAGUGGUGGCUGAAGCAUGUGCAGACACUGAAGAAACCCUCUCAGAUGACUGUCCUUUGGAGGAAGUACUUGUAAGUGCAUAAAUAACGACUUAAUUUAUAGAUGUGUACAUAUAAUUUCUGACUGCAAUAUGAGUUGCAGGAGGAAAGGCCUACAGACAAACCUACAGCACAAAGUGAUACAGAG